UACGUAGGCAGCGAGCGUUGUUCGGAAUUACUGGGCGUAAAGAGUGUGUAGGCGGUGCUCCCAGUCUGUUGUGAAAUCUCCCGGCUUAACUGGGAGGGUGCAGCGGAAACUAGAGUGCUAGAGGGUGGGAGAGGUAAGCGGAAUUCCUGGUGUAGCGGUGAAAUGCGUAGAUACCAGGAGGAACACCUGUGGUGUAGACAGCUUACUGGACCACUUCUGACGCUGAGACACGAAAGCGUGGGUAGCAAACAGG
rnacentral:rRNA from 1 species